GUCUGUGGCCAUACCAGCCUGAAUGUGCCUGAUCUCAUCCAAUCUCCGGAAGCUAAGCAGGGUUGGGCCUGGUUAGUACUUGGAUGGGAAAAAAAAAAAACAAUAAAAACAAGCAAAUGAUGUAAACA
rnacentral:rRNA from 2 species